AGCAAGACGACUUGGACAAACUAUUACCCCCAUACAAUGUAUGACUCUCCACCCAGGGCUGGAACCUGUUUGUCUAAACAUUUAUUCUCUGCAAAAUGCCAUGAACGUAUACAGAGCAGACUAUGGCCCUUUGCGAGUCAGGGGUUAUGAAAAGCGUUGCAGGCACCUAGCAUACCGAACUUUUGUCAGCUGGUGCUGGGGCUAUUUGGGGAGAAAGGUUCGUGUGGUCAUUCCGUCCUGUGUGGUCCAGCGUAUCCGUAGGGAGUUCCCAGACGCUGCAGGCCAGUAUGUUGGAUUUAGACCUCCCCUUGUCUGAACCGAGAUACGUAGGCAGCAAUGGCUUCUUCAAGGGGAGGAUGCUCAUAUUGUGAUGCCAGAGUAUCAGGGACUGGAACUUUCUGCAACUCCUCCACAUAUGGCUGGUUGUUGGGCACUAUGUCCUCGAAAAGCAAUGCCAUCAUGUUGAAGAUGUAACCUAGAAAAAAAAAUGUACAUGAUGUAAAUAACUGUCUACAGACCAUUUGUAAUAAUAAUUAUUAGUUGAACAACUUA